UGUGGCCUGAGGCUCUGCGCCUCUCGGUUUGAAGCAAUAGUUAUCUUAGACUACAGCCUGGUUUCUAGAAAACUGCCUGGCUCGUGCAGGUGAAAUUCCUGAAGACUGAUUAAAAACAACCAUAAUGAUGAUAAUCUGUUACUCACUUUCUUUUUCCUUAUCUCUUCCUGAACGCCUGUAGAAAAGUCCUCCAACUGAAAUGCAAAGAAGAGAAGAGCAUAAAUUGGCACCAUGAGGAUCUAAUCAUCCAACCUACCCAACCUACCCUGGGGCAAACUCAAGACAGUGGCCCAAGUUUGUCAACAGAUUUGUUUUCAAGAAGGAAUCUGUAGGGAUGAGAAAGAUGACAUAUUUAUUAAACUGAAGAUAGUUACCCCAGCCUCCCAUGUAGAGAGGAAAUGAAGCAGUC